rnacentral:rRNA from 1 species
AUAUUAAAGUUGUUGCCGUUAAAAAGCUCGUAGUCGAACUUCGGCCUCUGCCGCCCGGUCCGCCUCACCGCGAGUACUGGUUCGGCCGGGCCUUUCCUUCUGGGGAUCCCCAUGCCCUUCACUGGGUGUGGCGGGGAACCAGGACUUUUACUUUGAAUAAAUCAGAGUGCUCAAAGCAGGCAUUUGCUCGAAUGAUCUAGCAUGGAAUAAUAGAAUAGGACGUGCGGUUCUAUUUUGUUGGUUUCUAGGACCGCUGUAAUGAUUAAUAGGGACAGUCGGGGGCAUCAGUAUUCAAUUGUCA